AUUGAACGCUGGCGGCAGGCCUAACACAUGCAAGUCGAACGAGUGGCGGACGGGUGAGUAAUGUCUGGGAAACUGCCUGAUGGAGGGGGAUAACUACUGGAAACGGUGGCUAAUCCCGCAAAACAUGAGAUGAACCCAGAUGGGAUUAGCUUGUUGGUGGGGUAACGGCUCACCAAGGCGACGAUCCCUAGCUGGUCUGAGAGGAUGACCAGCCACACUGGAACUGAGACACGGCCCAGACUCCUACGGGAGGCAGCAGUGGGGAAUAUUGCACAAUGGGCGCAAGCCUGAUGCAGCCAUGCCGCGUGUAUGAAGAAGGCCUUAGGGUUGUAAAGUACUUUCAGCGGGGAGGCGUUACCCGCAGAAGAAGCACCGGCUAACUCCGUGCCAGCCGCCGCGGUAAUAC
rnacentral:rRNA from 1 species